rnacentral:rRNA from 1 species
GUCCUGGCCCUCAACGUUGUUCGCUCGUUCGCGGAGUAUCGACCCUCUGCGAGACUAAGGUAACCCGGUAAGCGAACCGCCUGGGUAGUACGAGCGCAAGCUUAAACUCAAGGAAUAGACGGGACUCGCACAAGUGGUGGAUUAUGUGGCUUAAUUCGUCGGCAAACGAAGACCUUACCAAGGUUAGACAUCCAGCUGCAUCCCAGCCGAAAGGCAGGGGAGCCUUCGAGGGUGCUGGGACAGGUGGUGCACGGUCGUCGU